AAGGCACAACAGGCUGGAUGGCUCCUGCCUGGAGUUCAAGUGAAGUGAAGUGAAGUCAGCUGCUUUGUAACCUUGCAACCGGAGUCUGCUCCCAGUCCUACUCCAGGGUGUCCAGAAGGAGCUUUACUCCGAAGGGAAGAAGUUGGGGGAGCCAUCACUGCAUGAGCAUUGGACUUGAUAGUGCAUCCCCCUAAGUUUCACUAUCUGACCCCCCCAACACACACACGCACACACACACACACACACACACACGCGCGCACACUGAAAUUUACAAGCGAGUGAAAUUUACAAGCGAUCACUGUUCCCAGCGCUUGGAGGAAAAAAAAAAACCCAUCAAGAAAUGCAAGCCACCCACUUCUCCCAUUCUGUCAUUGCUGUUGUGUUGUCCAGGAAGAGUUUAUACGCUUUUUUUUUUUUUUUAAUGUUUUAAUAGCAAAAAGAGAAAUAUGCACCGUCUAGGGAAAGGCAGGCUGGGACCGAGCAAAGACUUCUGAGGCUCCAUCAAAGGCUGGGGUCUGGUUUGCAAGCUGCAGCUCGACUUAGUUUGACAAGCCCAGGCCAGAGGAAAGUCCUGGUGCUUCCCCUGGACGUUGCGAGGGUCGGAGCCUGCUUAUGCUCCCCCGCUGGAAAAAUGCGGAUCCUUGCGAAUUUGUUGCAUUUCCUUGAUUGAUUGUUUAGUUAGCGAUUUUGCCAACUUCCUGAUGGUUCAUUUCUGAUUCUGCAAAAGAACCGCAUUUCCUUUUUGACUUGAGAGGGGGAGAGAGAGAGACACGAGCGGAGGCUGGGGGCUGUUGAACUCGGCAAUCUAGCAAAAGCAUUUGUUUCUCGUCUCUGGAGGAAAACACUCUGAGAAGUACCACUUGUGAUGUGCCUCAGUUUUCGAGAUCAUGAGCAAUGGGUGAAGGCAAGGCUGUGGAUUAUCAAGUGGGUGUCAGUCAGACACAGCGAAAAGGGAAAGGUUGAGGUGCGCCGAUCAUGUAUUCCAAGACACACACCACAGUGCAUCUAUCAACGAUGAACAAGAAAAAUUAUGUGCCUAAAUCGAAUUCCAGAUGUAAACAUUCCUGAACUAUAGGAGAAGCCAACAUCCAGUUCUGAAUUCUGCAAAUGGCUUGUAUCUUGAGUAUUCAGAGACUGUGCCGAGGUCUGGAGGGGGGAGGAAUUUUGCAGCCCCAACACUUUCAAAAAAUGGACCUUAUUUAAAAACAACUCUCUCUGCCAACUCAGCGCUUGUCGCAGUAUUGAGCAGAGUUCUCCUGCAUUUCAGUCCCCAAAGUGGAAUUCCCUUAGCGCAGAGAUUCUCAGCCAGGGGCCCUUGAGAUCCUUUUAAGGGGGUCCACAUGAUAUUAGUCCUGUGAGGUGUGCAAACACAUGCACACAUGAUUCACAAGGCCAACCCAGAGAUUUGAAGUAGACACCCAUCUUGUCAAACACAUCGAAAGACCUCAAUAGGUUUCAGAGUCGUUUGCAACAAAAGAAUGGUUCAACUUGUAUUUUUGUUUUUGACUCUAGAAAACGAGUGAAAGCGAAGAGCUGGCAUUUUCCGAGGGGCGCGUCGAGUUUAAAAAUGCGGAGAACCACUGUCGCUCUGUAGGAGGCAAAGGCAAACAUUUUGGUGAAAUCAGAAGGGCUUGCAAAUCAUUUCAGGAGCACUACUGGUAAAUCACUGAGGAAUGUCUUUGAGAUCGGAUGUUAACAUUGGUUUCCACAUUUGUUUAAAAAAAAAAAGAAGAAGAAAAAAAAAAGCCUUCACCCUUUCCAGCAAGUCAGGCUGGAUGGCUGUACGGGUGGCUUGGUGCCCAGACAGAGAGGAACUGAAAUAAAUAUGAGCAGGGUUAAGAAUUUUCUUUAUUGAGAGCACCUGCUCCGUUUUUACAUGUAGCGCUAGCUGAAAAACCCUUUGUUACAGCAUGCUCCGCUCCAGAGGAGUCCGGCGCAAGCUUUUUGGUACUGAACCAGCCCAGAUGAGUAGUGGAGACCUCUCUCCCUGGAAGGAUUUUCUUUGCUUGGCUCCAAAAGAUUUAAUUCAACUUUUCCAAACAAAUGCAAAAAAGGCACUGAGUGAAGACACUCAGAUGCUGUUGAGAGAUAAAUUCUUUUUUUUUUCUAAGUCCGUCUGCUUGUGUCCUAAGCCAACAAGCUGAGGAGAUGCACGGAUUACAUUUCUGCAGAUGACUUAGUGAGCAUGAAAGCAAAGGAUUAAUAGGCAUGGCGCAGCGCGGCUCAAGCAGCCCUGCCAAUAAAAGUUCAGUCCUAACUUGCAGCCUCCAGUGCUAUGGCAGAGGGGGACGCACACCUCUGACCUGCUCAGUCCUGGCCUCCAGCAACUCCUGCCCUGUCAAUCAUAAGCCUCCCUGAUCAGAGACUGCUGUUAUAUGAAGAAUGAUGCCAAACAUCUUCUAGGGAUUAGGCUGAGAUAAGAGCAUUUAAUUGGUGUUUCUUAGAGGGAAAGUAUUAGAGAUGAAUCAUACCAGUUUACCCCGUUUAGUAAUUCCUUUGACUCCAAUUAGUCUACUCGCACAUUGCUUAAAGAGCUGCUUUUUCUGCUGGAAGAAUCUGCUGCCGCAUUUUUCUAUAGAGCCACGAACGCUGACAACAGAAGUGAUGACUUUUUGCCGAGGCGAGGGAAACCGAAUACAUGAGCAAUGCUCAUGUGAAUACACGGUCUCAGCAGUAGGCCCCUAGUAUGCACAGAUCUUUAGGAUGAGAAAUGUCCAGUACAUGGAGGAGCGUCAUCACAUAAUAAACUAAACCAAUAAUGACUUUAUGUAAAAGUACCGAGGAGCGAAGGAGCAUCAGGACGCAAGUUCAGAGCGGAGAGCCUUCACCAGCUCAUUAUCGUCUCAGCAACGUUCGGUUCCCGAUGCUUCGGUGCAAGAUCAUCAGAGCUGAAUCCUACUGCUUUAAGCUGACACCGGAGGCUUUAGCGCUUUCUGACAUCCCAACUCUUUGGCAACCUGCGUGAUAAGGAAGAAGGAGGAGCGCACACCUCUGCAGACUGACAGCGACCCUGCCAGUCACCUCUGGCAAGUCUGUUCCCCAUGCUGUGCCUCGGUUUUCCCCACCUGUAAUCCUGACAACAGAACCCAUUCAUUCCUAUUUGUCAAAUAGCAAAAAAUGCUUUGCCAGGAGGUAAAAAUAAAAAAAAAAAUCUUUCA